rnacentral:rRNA from 1 species
UGAGGAAUAUUGGUCAAUGGGCGGGAGCCUGAACCAGCCAAGCCGCGUGAGGGAAGAAGGCGCUCAGCGUCGUAAACCUCUUUAGCCGGGGAACAAAGAGCUGCUCGGGAAGCAGCGUUGAGCGUACCCGGAGAAUAAGCAUCGGCUAACUCCGUGCCAGCAGCCGCGGUAAUACGGAGGAUGCGAGCGUUAUCCGGAUUUAUUGGGUUUAAAGGGUGCGCAGGCGGACGCGCAAGUCUGCGGUCAAAAUUCCGGGGGCUCAACCCCGGCACCGCCGUGGAAACUGUGCGACUGGAGUGGGCGAGAGGCAUGCGGAAUGCGCGGUGUAGCGGUGAAAUGCUUAGAGAUCGCGCAGAACUCCGAUUGCGAAGGCAGCAUACCGGCGCCUUACUGACGCUCAUGCACGAAAGCGUGGGGAUCGAACAGGAUUAGAUACC